rnacentral:rRNA from 1 species
UACGGAGGGAGCGAGCAUUGUUCGGAUUUACUGGGUGUAAAGGGUGUGUAGGCGGUUUGGUAAGUUAGAUGUGAAAUCUCUGGGCUUAACCCAGAAACUGCAUUUAAUACUGCUGGACUAGAGUAUGUAAGAGGAAGAUGGAAUUCUCGGUGUAGGGGUGAAAUCCGUAGAUAUCGAGAGGAACACCAGUUGCGAAGGCGAUCUUCUGGGACAAUACUGACGCUGAGACACGAAAGCUAGGGGAGCAAACAGGAUUAGAUACCCUGGUAGUCCUAGCUGUAAACGAUGAGGACUAGGCGUUGGUUCACCUUUGGUGGACCGGUGCCGAAGCUAACGCAUUAAGUCCUCCACCUGGGGAGUACGGUCGCAAGGCUGAA